rnacentral:sRNA from 1 species
CUCUCCGUUUUGGUGGGCUGGUGAGUGUGCGCUUAAUUUUGCUCUCUCAUUGUUUUGAAUUUCUCUUCCAUUUGAGUUAUACACCCAGGUGGCAGGCCUUUAUUUCAAGUCGGCAUUGGAGUGUGUUUGAGUCGCAAGGAGAUUAAUUUCGGCUGCGUGGAGGUUGGGAGAAGGCAGUGAAAUGCUCUUCCUGGCUUGUUUCCACGUGGGCCUCUGCAGUACUGGCUUUGCCUUCCAUCUCCGAGUCCUGGUGACCCAGGAACAAUAGACUGUGCUUCAUGUGUACAGUGCGUGCAUUUUGCUUGGCGGGAAAGAUAUUAUCCUAAUGCUGUUUUGAUUUAUAUCUCCCUGGGUGAGGUCAGAUUUCGGGAGAAGGCGUUCAGCUCAGUAGAGUUUAAUUCUCCGAAAUGAUCCUAGAUAAUUGAUAGAUCCUGUGGUUCACCUGGAUUUCUAGAUAGAAGCUGGAUUCAUGUGAUGCCAGAGGAGUAAAAUUUCAAGAGACUGAAACCAGAUCUGAGUUUCGCUGUUCCAGUCUGGACCUCUUUGGU